rnacentral:rRNA from 1 species
AGUGAACGCUGGCGGUAGGCCUAACACAUGCAAGUCGAACGGCAGCACAGUAAGAGCUUGCUCUUACGGGUGGCGAGUGGCGGGCGGGUGAGGAAUACAUCGGAAUCUACUUUUUCGUGGGGGAUAACGUAGGGAAACUUACUCUAAUACCGCAUACGACCUACGGGUGAAAGCAGGGGAUCUUCGGACCUUGCGCGAUUGAAUGAGCCGAUGUCGGAUUAGCUGGUUGGCGGGGUAAAGGCCCACCAAGGCGACGAUCCGUAGCUGGUCUGGGUGGAUGAUCAGCCACACUGGAACUGAGACACGGUCCAGACGCAUACGGGAGGCAGCCGUGGGGAAUAUUGGACAAUGGGUGCAAACCUGAUCCAGCCAUACCGCGUGGGUGAAGAGGGCCUUCGGGUUGUAAAGCCCUUUUGUCGGGAAAGAAACGCAGCAGGUUAAUAACGCGCUGUUCUGACGGUAACCAAAGAAUAAGCACCGGCUAACUUCGUG